rnacentral:rRNA from 1 species
UACGUAGGGACCGAGCGUUGUCCGGAUUCAUUGGGCGUAAAGAGCUCGUAGGCGGCUGCUCAAGUCGAAUGUGAAAACUCGAGGCUCAACCUCGAGCCUGCAUUCGAUACUGGGCGGCUAGAGUCUGGUAGGGGGAUCUGGAAUUCCUGGUGUAGCGGUGAAAUGCGCAGAUAUCAGGAGGAACACCAAUGGCGAAGGCAGCUCGCUGGGACGGUACUGACGCUGAGACGCGAAAGCGUGGGGAGCAAACAGG